AACGAACGCUGGCGGCAGGCCUAACACAUGCAAGUCGAACGGGCGUAGCAAUACGUCAGUGGCAGACGGGUGAGUAACGCGUGGGAACGUACCUUUUGGUUCGGAACAACCCAGGGAAACUUGGGCUAAUACCGGAUAAGCCCUUACGGGGAAAGAUUUAUCGCCGAAAGAUCGGCCCGCGUCUGAUUAGCUAGUUGGUGAGGUAACGGCUCACCAAGGCAACGAUCAGUAGCUGGUCUGAGAGGAUGAUCAGCCACAUUGGGACUGAGACACGGCCCAAACUCCUACGGGAGGCAGCAGUGGGGAAUAUUGGACAAUGGGCGCAAGCCUGAUCCAGCCAUGCCGCGUGAGUGAUGAAGGCCCUAGGGUUGUAAAGCUCUUUUGUGCGGGAAGAUAAUGACGGUACCGCAAGAAUAAGCCCCGGCUAACUUCGUGCCAGCAGCCGCGGUAAC
rnacentral:rRNA from 1 species